AGAAGCGUCUUCCGCGCCGGACCGUGCACNNNNCUCCUGGAAUGGAGCAUCAUAGAGGGUGAGAAUCCCGUCUUUGGCAUGGAAACCCCGGGGCUCUGUGAUGCGCUCUCGAAGAGUCGAGUUGUUUGGGAAUGCAGCUCAAAAUGGGUGGUGAACUCCAUCUAAAGCUAAAUAUUGGCGAGAGACCGAUAGCGAACAAGUACCGUGAGGGAAAGAUGAAAAGCACUUUGGAAAGAGAGUGAAACAGUACGUGAAAUUGUUGAAAGGGAAACACUUGAAGUCAGUCGCGUUGACCAAGACUCAGCCUCGCCCUCGGCUUGKCGUACUUCUUGGCUGACGGGCCAGCAUCGAUUUUGUCCCUCGGACAAUGGCAAGGGAAAGGUGGCACCCUUUAUGGGUGUGUUAUAGUCCUCUGUCGCAUACGAGGGAUGGGAUCGAGGAACUCGGCACAUGCUUAGGAUGCUGGCGUAAUGGCUUUAAAUGACCCGUCUUGAAACACGGACCAAGGAGUCUAACAUGCCUGCAAGUGUUCGGGUGGAAAACCCGUGCGCGAAAUGAAAGUGAAAGUUGGGACCUCUGUCGUGGAGGGCACCGACGCCCGGACCAGACCUUCUGUGACGGAUCUGCGGUAGAGCAUGCAUGUUGGGACCCGAAAGAUGGUGAACUAUGCCUGAAUAGGGUGAAGCCAGAGGAAACUCUGGUGGAGGCUCGUAGCGAUUCUGACGUGCAAAUCGAUCGUCAAAUUUGGGUAUAGGGGC
rnacentral:rRNA from 1 species